GGGUAGGGGUGAAAGGCCAAUCAAACUCCGUGAUAGCUGGUUCUCUCCGAAAUGCAUUUAGGUGCAGCGUUGCGUGUUUCUUGCCGGAGGUAGAGCUACUGGAUGGCCGAUGGGGCCCAAAAGCUUACUGACGUCAGCCAAACUCCGAAUGCCGGUAAGUGAGAGCGCAGCAGUGAGACUGUGGGGGAUAAGCUUCAUAGUCGAGAGGGAAACAACCCAGACCACCAACUAAGGUCCCUAAGCGCGUGCUAAGUGGGAAAGGAUGUGGAGUUGCACAGACAACCAGGAGGUUGGCUUAGAAGCAGCCAUCCUUGAAAGAGUGCGUAAUAGCUCACUGGUCGAGU
rnacentral:rRNA from 1 species